CACCAAACACUGAAUAUAAGGCAUGAGUGAAUACCGCGUGUCUGUUUUUGUGAAUAUUGUUCCUGUAUACACAGAACUUCAAUGCUAAAUAAAACACAAAGUGAAGCAAAGCACCGGUGUGGUCCCGUGAAGUCCUACGGCCUAGUGUCCUGAGUCCAGGUCUGGAACUCGGGAGCUUAUGGAUAUUUAGUCUCUGCCCAACCACUGCUUUUGUAAACACAGGUGUACUGCCACUUCUUGGGAGGAUUCUGUCUCCUGUGUGGAGAGAGCGGCCGCAGAUGAAAAGUCGGCCUGGGAUACAACUGCUGGAGGCUGCCUUUCAGGU